rnacentral:rRNA from 1 species
AUUGAACGCUGGCGGCAGGCCUAACACAUGCAAGUCUAACGAGUGUCGUACUGGUUAUUCAUUUCUUGGAAACUGCCUGAUGUAGUGGGAUAACUACUGUAAACUGUAUCUACUACCUCAUACCCUCGGAUGUGCCCAGAUGGGAUUAGCUAGUAGGUGGGGUAAAGGCUCACCUAGGCGACGAUCCCUAGCUGGUCUGAGAGGAUGACCAGCCACACUGGAACUGAGACACGGUCCAGACUCCUACGGGAGGCAGCAGUGGGGAAUAUUGCACAAUGGGCGCAAGCCUGAUGCAGCCAUGCCGCGUGUAUGAAGAAGGCCUUCGGGUUGUAAAGUACUUUCAGCGGGGAGGCGUUAAACGAAGAAGAAGAACCGGCUAACUCCGUGCCAGCAGCCGCGGUAAUAG